UGGGGAAUAUUGGACAAUGGGCGAAAGCCUGAUCCAGCCAUGCCGCGUGUGUGAAGAAGGUCUUCGGAUUGUAAAGCACUUUAAGUUGGGAGGAAGGGCAGUUACCUAAUACGUGAUUGUCUUGACGUUACCGACAGAAUAAGCACCGGCUAAUUCUGUGCCGGCAGCCGCGGUAAAUACAGAGGGUGCAAGCGUUAAUCGGAAUUACUGGGCGUAAAGCGCGCGUAGGUGGUUUGUUAAGUUGGAUGUGAAAUCCCCGGGNUCAACCUGGGAACUGCAUUCAAAACUGUCAAGCUAGAGUAUGGUAGAGGGUGGUGGAAUUUCCUGUGUAGCGGUGAAAUGCGUAGAUAUAGGAAGGAACACCAGUGGCGAAGGCGACCACCUGGACUGAUACUGACACUGAGGUGCGAAAGCGUGGGGAGCAAAACGGAUUAGAUACCCUGGUAGUCCACGCCGUAAACGUGUCAACUAGCCGUUGGGAGCCUUGGGCUCUUAGUGGCGCAGCUAACGCAUUAAGUUGACCGCCUGGGGAGUACGGCCGCAAGGUUAAAAACUUAAAGGAAUUGACGGGGUCAUAGCUGUUUCCUG
rnacentral:rRNA from 1 species